CCGAUUUAACAAAUUAAUAACUAGUUAGCAGCUAAUAAUUCUUUAUACAUAACUAUUAGCCUCGAAUUAAAAUAUAAUAGUUCAAUAAAGUAAUCUAAUGAUCCAAUUUAAUUAAAUUAGAAUGUAUUUUCAAGGUCCAAUAGAAACUUUAUUUAAUAAGCCUAUUAAGUAAAUAGUAAUCUCAUCACUUGCCCAAGUAUCACUAAGCCCAAUUAGAUUAAAUAAAUAAAACAAUCUAGAAUUUUCUUAAAAAAGAGCAGAUUAAUCUCUGUCUAUCAUUUUCUCUCUUUCUCUGCUCUCUACCGUCCCUCUCUCUCCCUUCGCCCCUCUCUGUCGGCUCCCUUCUUCCCCAUCUCACCGGGACGUUACUGGUUCUCGCCGUCUCCGGCGCAGCGAGGCAGGUCCCUGUUCUUCCCCCUUCUUCCUUUCUCUUCUCUUCCCCCAAUUUCCCAGGCUACCACUACUUAGGGUUUUGAAGUUUCCUCUUUUAAAUCUGCUCCUCCGGUGAACUCCACCGCCACCGCCGUCGUUCCCGUCGCGCGGCCGCCCCACCAUCUCAGGAAUCGGUGAUUCAAGAUGGUUUGAGAUGGUUUCAUCGGCAGUUCAUCUACAGCCCAAGACUCCCUUUUAAAGACUCAGCCUUUUAUUAUUGAAUUAACUGUUGUAACUAAAUGUAUGCUGUAAGUGUUAAAGAAAAUUGAUGUUAUCUCUACUAUUCUUGAUUACUAUCUAUGAGUAAUUACCGAGUUAUAGGAAGAAUACUACCUGCUUGCGUGUUGUGA